rnacentral:rRNA from 1 species
AGGGUUCGAUCAUGGCUCAGGAUGAACGCUAGCGGCAGGCUUAACACAUGCAAGUCGAGGGGUAACAGGGAUUGCUUGCAAUCCGCUGACGACCGGCGCACGGGUGCGUAACGCGUAUGCAACCUACCUUUUACUGGGGGAUAGUCAAGAGAAAUUUUGAAUAAUACCCCAUACGAUCUGAUUCACUCCUGUGAAACAGAAGAAAAUUCCGAUGGUAAAAGAUGGGCAUGCGUCCUAUUAGUUUGUUGGUGAGGUAACGGCUCACCAAGACUACGAUAGGUAGGGGUCCUGAGAGGGAGAUCCCCCACACUGGUACUGAGACACGGACCAGACUCCUACGGGAGGCAGCAGUGAGGAAUAUUGGACAAUGGAGGCAACUCUGAUCCAGCCAUGCCGCGUGCAGGAAGACGGCCCUAUGGGUUGUAAACUGCUUUUAUACAGGAAGAAACGUUAGUACGUGUACUAGCCUGACGGUACUGUAAGAAUAAGGAUCGGCUAACUCCGUGCCAGCCGCCGCGGUAAUAC